UGACCCGGAACGUGGUGGGGACUGCCUGCUCAAGAAUUCUGUUUCAUUUUUCUUUACUCUGCUGAAGAAAGAUGAAAGCUGUGCUCAAGGAGCAGGAGUAAUAGCCCACAUGGACUGCUUUGCACAGUGCUCCGAGAGGCCAGAAAAGGAACGUAUUUCUCUGCUAAGAUACUCAAGCUGCAAGAUCGGGGCUCUCCCACCAGCUCAGCAUGAGAUUUUCUGUUCAGCUUUCAGCAAACUAUUACACUCAUCAGCAUCUGUUAAUGUAUCAGGCAAAAUACCAUCACUGCCAGGGGAUGUGAGAUGCAAAACAAAGAAAUCUGUAAAGCUGCUGAGAUAAUGGAAUGGAGAGACUUGAGGCGCUCCAAAGAUUUCUAUUAUUUAAUGUUUCUCUCUGGAGAAAACAUUGCCCAGUAUCAUCUGCUGACUGAUUUUGAAAUUAAUUAUGCUGAUCCACUUGUAACGCCAGCUGGCAAGGAGGCUGGCUGCAGGGUGACCGCAGUAUCCCCUGACUACCUACCAAAUAGAAGAAUCAACAAAAUGUUUUCUACUGAGUCACUGAUUUAUCCAGGACAGUCAUCAAUAUUUUUCAUUGUUAUCUCUGAUGUCUAAAGUGACUCCUCCAGGUUACAUUAAGGGCACAACAACUAUUAAUUAGAACUUUAUGACAGAUUAUUGGUAAUGAACAGACACAGUAAAACCUUGUAGCUCAGAAGCAGACGCCACCCACCCACAGUUCUCCUCAAUCAGUAACUUGGUGCUACCCUACCUAGUUGUGUCUCAUGGGAGGACAAUACUUCUUUUGUCUGUUGCAGCACAGUGAAAAGGACAGCAGAUAAUCUUUCAAAAGUAGCGUUCAACUUAUUUGAAAGGAAAAAGAUUGUUAAGUUUUCAUGGGUCCUGGACAAACCAAUGUACUGAGAACUAGUGCGGUUUGGAAAAAAAAACAACACACAAUUUUUUUUUUAAAUUAAAUUUCUGAUUCUGUUACAGAAGACUUAUGUUACCACAGAGAAGUUUCUUAAGGUCUGUUUCAAUAAAAAGGGCUUCGGCAUGCAGAAGCUUUGUGUUCCUGUGCCCGACACUGCAACGUUUGGCUUUCAGGGUGGUAUCUAAAAUCCUGCAGAAAUGCACGCAGUGUUUCAGGCAGAAAUGAGGUAUGGGAUUCCUUGUCACAUGCUUAUCUGUAAGGUGGACACAAUUAAAUGAGACAGAACAUGCUCUGGGAACCCAGGUCUGGAACUGCGAUCCUGAAAAUGUCCUAAUCACCUGCUACCUAUCUCUGGAAGCACACACACCUCACAAAUACUUCAGUUGCUGAUGAUGACAUUCGCCAGGGGCUGCGCUUCCAAGUUAGUGAAGAUCCCUCCAUUUGGUCAAGGCAAUACAACUCAUCUCUUGCCCUCUUACAGGCAACUAGAGCAGGGCUUCCCAAACUGCGGUACACGCACCUAAAGAAACCACUCACAGGCCAGGCAACAGACUUGGUUGCAGCAGAAGGCAGCCCUGGGAUGGAGACCAGCCAGGGACGCCUACCAAAAGCCCAGAAGGGUUCUGCUGCUGUAACUUCUCAGUGUCUCCAGCCUAGGGCUUUAACCGAGGCCUUUUUCUUCCCUUUAUCCCAUCCUGCACCUACUGCUGUUCCUGCCGCUUCCCCUCUCCUCGCGCUCUUGCCAGGCAGCAGCUGGUGCUGCGGCUGCGGCUGCCUCUUCUUCGUCCCCCUGUUCGGGUUGCUGCUGCUCCUGCUUUUUCCCCGAGUCCUCCCAAGUGCGGUGCUGCCGCUGACUCUGCCUGCAGCGACAGCAGCAACGGCUCAGCCCGGCGGGACUCGAGCUGACCCCGUGAAGCCGAGUUC